UUCAGCUUUAAAAUCCUGUUUUAAUCUUAAAAGCGUGGCAUAGAGAAAUAUCUGAUUACAUUUAACAAAUUACUGUUCAUUUAUCUAAAUAUAUAUCAGCUAGCCAACUGUUGUGAUCCUUGUAUCAUCUUUAGCACCUUUUUUUUUGUGUAAAGACUCCAUACAACCUGUCAUUCUGGUUUACUGUAUACAGUGACCUGGAAUACAAAUCUGUAGACAUGUUCCAUCAAUAUACCUACAGUAAAGUCCACUGGGUGACUGCUCGUUGGAUCGUUGUUGUUUGAUAUUGCUGUGAUCUCAGGUCCCCAAGUCACCAUGAUGAGAGUGGAAGAGCUAUACAUCUGAAGAAAGAGACGCAGACAGAAACAGGAAGAUAUCGAGGGAAAGUGAGGAUAGAGAAAGAGUAAAAGAUAAAGGUCUAGACCAUUCAACACAAAACUUGAUGAAAUCUGUAGGAGGAUCCUGUCUGUCUCUCUCCACUUUCCCACACUGCUGAUAAGGUGAAGGUCUUUAGUUAGAUGACCAUUAAUCUACUAGUCCUGUACCUGAAUCAGGUGGGAUGUAAUCCACACUAAUCAGGGUCUGACACACUCCAGAGUGUCUGAAGCUAAUCCACAUGGACUAAUGACCAUAACAU